UGGGGAAUAUUGCGCAAUGGACGAAAGUCUGACGCAGCGACGCCGCGUGUGGGAGGAAGCUCUUCGGGGUGUAAACCACUGUCAGGAGGGAAGAACGGCGCCGGUUCGAACAGUUCCGGCGAUUGACGGUACCUCCAAAGGAAGCGCCGGCUAACUCCGUGCCAGCAGCCGCGGUAAGACGGAGGGCGCAAGCGUUGUUCGGAAUUACUGGGCAUAAAGCGCGCGUAGGCGGCGACGUAAGUGUAGGGUGAAAUCCCACGGCUCACCCGUGUGAAUUGCCCCGCAUACUGCGUUGCUCGAGUGUGGUAGGGGAGAGCGGAACUCCUGGUGGAGCGGUGAAAUGCGUAGAUAUCAGGAGGAACACCGGUGGCGUAGGCGGCUCUCUGGUCCAUAACUGACGCUGAAGUGCGAAAGCUAGGGUAGCGAACGGGAUUAGAUACCCCCGUAGUCCCUGAGCGGGCUGGCAAGGCGCAU
rnacentral:rRNA from 1 species